rnacentral:rRNA from 1 species
GACAAGUUCUGAAUAGUCAAAGUGAUUCUCAACAGCUAAAUGCCAUGAUAAAAAUAGUUACACAACAUUCCGUUCAAACAAAAACACGUACACUCCACUUUGCUGUAAAAAGCAGUUCUCACUUCUCUAGUUAAUCACCACAGACCACACAGCUUAUUUUAAUUGAUGCUGCUGAAAACAUGUAUUACAGUUCCCAUCGGAAGUAUGCAAGACAGAGAGCUAAGAAUUAACUCACAGUAUUUUUAUUUCACACAUCAAUUAAUCCUCAUGUGUAGUAUAGCCUAAGUAACUAGCUAGUCGAUCCAACCGGCCAUGAAAGAAACUGCUUGUGUUGAUGUCGAAGACAUUUGCCAAAGGUUCGAAAUUGCCCUGUAGGGGACUGAAAAAUCAGCUAGCUGGAGCAGCAACCAUGCAUGCACCUGCUAGCUCCUGCAUCUGCAUGCAUGCCUGAAUCUGCAGGACUCGACAGCAUGCAGAGUGUCGCCUCGGAGUUGCCCGGCGGUACUGCGGAACAGAUCGAUCGGCCACCGCCUCGGAUCCGUCCCAGCGAAUGCACCGGCGCCGCCGCGAGCAUGCUUGAUCACAUGGCCAUGGCACGCCGGCCGGCCGGCAGCUGUAUUUGUAUCUUGGGCCGGAGGUGUGUGUGUGUGUGUGUGUGUGUGUGUGACGGUGCAAGAUGAAAACGAGAGAUUAGGCUGCCGGAUGGUUUUAUACAGUGAGCAAUUGAUGGAGAAAGUUGGCC